UACGGAGGAUGCAAGCGUUAUCCGGAUUUAUUGGGUUUAAAGGGUACGCAGGUUGUUUGAUAAGUCAGUGGUGAAAGUCUGUCGCUUAACGGUAGGAUUGCCAUUGAUACUGUUGGACUUGAAUAUGGAUGAGGCAGGCGGAAUGUGUAGUGUAGCGGUGAAAUGCAUAGAUAUUACACAGAACACCGAUUGCGAAGGCAGCUUACUAAUCCAUCAUUGACGCUGAGGCACGAAAGCGUGGGGAUCAAACA
rnacentral:rRNA from 1 species